rnacentral:rRNA from 1 species
UACGUAGGGUGCAAGCGUUAAUCGGAAUUACUAGGCGUAAAGCGUGCGCAGGCGGUUGUGCAAGACAGAUGUGAAAUCCCCGGGCUUAACCUGGGAACUGCAUUUGUGACUGCACGGCUGGAGUGCGGCAGAGGGGGAUGGAAUUCCGCGUGUAGCAGUGAAAUGCGUAGAUAUGCGGAGGAACACCGAUGGCGAAGGCAAUCCCCUGGGCCUGCACUGACGCUCAUGCACGAAAGCGUGGGGAGCAAACAGG